UACGUAGGGCGCAAGCGUUGUCCGGAAUUAUUGGGCGUAAAGAGCUCGUAGGCGGUUCGUCGCGUCGGCUGUGAAAACCCGGAGCUCAACUCCGGGCCUGCAGUCGAUACGGGCGGACUUGAGUGUUGCAGGGGAGACUGGAAUUCCUGGUGUAGCGGUGAAAUGCGCAGAUAUCAGGAGGAACACCCGUAGCGAAGGCGGCACACUGGGCCGGUACUGACGCUGAGGAGCGAAAGCGUGGGGAGCAAACAGG
rnacentral:rRNA from 1 species